rnacentral:rRNA from 1 species
UACAGAGGGGGCAAGCGUUGUUCGGAAUUACUGGGCGUAAAGGGCGCGUAGGCGGCCUUCUAAGUCGAACGUGAAAUCCCCGGGCUCAACCCGGGAACUGCGUCCGAUACUGGAAGGCUUGAAUCCGGGAGAGGGAUGUGGAAUUCCAGGUGUAGCGGUGAAAUGCGUAGAUAUCGUGAGGAAGACCAGUGGCGAAGGCGGAUCUCUGGACAGCUCCUGACGCUGAGGCGCGAAGGCUAGGGGAGCAAACGGG